rnacentral:rRNA from 1 species
GUACGAGAGGACCGGAGUGGACGCAUCACUGGUGUUCGGGUUGUCAUGCCAAUGGCACUGCCCGGUAGCUAAAUGCGGAAGAGAUAAGUGCUGAAAGCAUCUAAGCACGAAACUUGCCCCGAGAUGAGUUCUCCCUGAGACUUUAAGUCUCCUGAAGGAACGUUGAAGACGACGACGUUGAUAGGCCGGGUGUGUAAGCGCAGCGAUGCGUUGAGCUAACCGGUACUAAUGAACCGUGAGGCUUAACCUUACAACGCCGAAG